rnacentral:rRNA from 1 species
AGAGUUUGAUCCUGGCUCAGGAUGAACGCUAGCUACAGGCUUAACACAUGCAAGUCGAGGGGAAACGACAUCGAAAGCUUGCUUUUGAUGGGCGUCGACCGGCGCACGGGUGAGUAACGCGUAUCCAACCUGCCCACCACUUGGGGAUAACCUUGCGAAAGCAAGACUAAUACCCAAUGAUAUCUCUAGAAGACAUCUGAAAGAGAUUAAAGAUUUAUCGGUGAUGGAUGGGGAUGCGUCUGAUUAGCUUGUUGGCGGGGUAACGGCCCACCAAGGCAACGAUCAGUAGGGGUUCUGAGAGGAAGGUCCCCCACAUUGGAACUGAGACACGGUCCAAACUCCUACGGGAGGCAGCAGUGAGGAAUAUUGGUCAAUGGGCGAGAGCCUGAACCAGCCAAGUAGCGUGCAGGAAGACGGCCCUAUGGGUUGUAAACUGCUUUUAUAAGGGAAUAAAGUUAGUCUCGUGAGACUUUUUGCAUGUACCUUAUGAAUAAGGACCGGCUAAUUCCGUGCCAGCAGCCGCGGUAAUACGGAAGGUCCGGGCGUUAUCCGGAUUUAUUGGGUUUAAAGGGAGCGUAGGCCGGAGAUUAAGCGUGUUGUGAAAUGUAGACGCUCAACGUCUGCACUGCAGCGCGAACUGGUUUCCUUGAGUACGCACAAAGUGGGCGGAAUUCGUGGUGUAGCGGUGAAAUGCUUAGAUAUCACGAAGAACUCCGAUUGCGAAGGCAGCUCACUGGAGCGCAACUGACGCUGAAGCUCGAAAGUGCGGGUAUCGAACAGGAUUAGAUACCCUGGUAGUCCGCACGGUAAACGAUGGAUGCCCGCUGUUGGUCUGAACAGGUCAGCGGCCAAGCGAAAGCAUUAAGCAUCCCACCUGGGGAGUACGCCGGCAACGGUGAAACUCAAAGGAAUUGACGGGGGCCCGCACAAGCGGAGGAACAUGUGGUUUAAUUCGAUGAUACGCGAGGAACCUUACCCGGGCUCGAACGGCACCUGGAUCACCCAGAGAUGGGCGAGUCUUCGGACAGGUGUCGAGGUGCUGCAUGGUUGUCGUCAGCUCGUGCCGUGAGGUGUCGGCUCAAGUGCCAUAACGAGCGCAACCCUUGCCGCCAGUUGCCAUCAGGUGAUGCUGGGCACUCUGGCGGGACUGCCACCGCAAGGUGUGAGGAGGGGGGGGAUGACGUCAAAUCAGCACGGCCCUUACGUCCGGGGCGACACACGUGUUACAAUGGCGGCCACAGAGGGAAGCUACCCCGCGAGGGGAUGCGGAUCUCGAAAAGCCGUCCCAGUUCGGACUGGAGUCUGCAACCCGACUCCACGAAGUUGGAUUCGCUAGUAAUCGCGCAUCAGCCAUGGCGCGGUGAAUACGUUCCCGGGCCUUGUACACACCGCCCGUCAAGCCAUGGAAGCCGCGGGCGCCUGAAGUCCGUGACCGGAAGGAGCGGCCUAGGGCGAAAGUGGUAACUGGGGCUAAGUCGUAACAAGGUA